GCAAACCGACUCAGGUGGUUAGGUAGAGAAUACCAAGGCGAUCGAGUGAAUCGUGGUUAAGGAAUUCGGCAAAAUACCCCCGUAACUUCGGGAGAAGGGGGGCCCAGAGGGUGACGGGACUUGCUCCCCGAGCCUGAACGGUCGCAGAGACCAGGGAGAAGCGACUGUUUACUAAAAACACAGGUCCGUGCCAAGUCGCAAGACGAUGUAUACGGACUGACGCCUGCCCGGUGCUGGAACGUUAAGGGGACCGGUUAGCCUCACGGCGAAGCUGAGAACUUAAGCGCCAGUAAACGGCGGUGGUAACUAUAACCAUCCUAAGGUAGCGAAAUUCCUUGUCGGGUAAGUUCCGACCUGCACGAAUGGCGUAACGAUUUCUCCACUGUCUCAACCACGAACUCGGCGAAAUUGCACUACGAGUAAAGAUGCUCGUUACGCGCAGAAGGACGGAAAGACCCCGGGACCUUUACUACAGCUUGGUAUUGGUGUUCGGUACGGCUUGUGUAGGAUAGGUGGGAGACUGAGAAGCUGACACGCCAGUGUCGGUGGAGUCAACGUUGAAAUACCACUCUGGUCGUUCUGGAUAUCUAACCUAGGUCCGUGAUCCGGAUCAGGGACAGUGCCUGGUGGGUAGUUUAACUGGGGCGGUUGCCUCCUAAAAGGUAACGGAGGCGCCCAAAGGUUCCCUCAGCCUGGUUGGCAAUCAGGUUUUGAGUGUAAGUGCACAAGGGAGCUUGACUGUGAGACUGACAAGUCGAACAGGGACGAAAGUCGGGACUAGUGAUCCGGCGGUGGCUUGUGGAAGCGCCGUCGCUCAACGGAUAAAAGGUACCCCGGGGAUAACAGGCUGAUCUUGCCCAAGAGUCCAUAUCGACGGCAUGGUUUUGCACCUCGAUGUCGGCUCAUCGCAUCCUGGGGCUGGAGUAGGUCCCAAGGGUUGGGCUGUUCGCCCAUUAAAGCGGUACGCGAGCUGGGUUUAGAACGUCGUGAGACAGUUCGGUCCCUAUCCUCUGCGCGCGCAGGAAACUUGAGAAGGGCUGUCCCUAGUACGAGAGGACCGGGAUGGACGAACCUCUGGUGUGUCAGUUGUUCUGCCAAGAGCACCGCUGAUUAGCUACGUUCGGGAGUGAUAACCGCUGAAAGCAUCUAAGCGGGAAGCAUGCUUCAAGAUGAGGUUUCCAUGGGGUUUACCCCGAGAGGCUCCCAGCUAGACUACUGGGUUGAUAGGCCGGAUGUGGAAGUGCGGUAACGCAUGGAGCUGACCGGUACUAAUAAGCCGAUAACUUGACC
rnacentral:rRNA from 1 species